CGCAGCCAUUGGAGAGGGUGUAGUUUCUCCCAGAGGACGGAGGGAGGCUCGGAAUGAGGCUGAGAAAGUUGAUCAAGCGACGUGGGAGGGUGACGCGUCGCUUGGACCACUGGUCAUUCUGGAGAACGGAGUGCCCGACCUGGCAACCCAACCCUUCAAUGGGAUCGGACGACCUGGAGGGCAAACUUCACGUAGGGGUGUGAUAUCUGAAACGGUUUUGAUCGUUACCCUGGCCCUGACGGCUGCCUGUCUCGCCACUGCUGCUUUGAUCGUUUUGUUAUUGCACAGGAAACACAAGCAAACUAUGUUCAACUAGUUUUCAACUGCAGAAAAAGUGUGAUUGCUUCAUUCUUUUCUGUGUUU